UACAGAGGUCCCAAGCGUUGUUCGGAUUCACUGGGCGUAAAGGGUGCGUAGGUGGUGAGGUAAGUCGGAUGUGAAAGCUCGGAGCUCAACUCCGAAAUGGCAUUGGAAACUACCUUGCUCGAGGGUUGGAGGGGGGACUGGAAUACUUGGUGUAGCAGUGAAAUGCGUAGAUAUCAAGUGGAACACCAGUGGCGAAGGCGAGUCCCUGGACAACUCCUGACACUGAGGCAGCGAAAGCUAGGGGAGCAAACAGG
rnacentral:rRNA from 1 species